rnacentral:rRNA from 1 species
AGUCAAUAGAUACCCGGGUAGUCCACGCCGUAAACGAUGAAUACUAGGUGUGGGGGUUGUCAUGACCUCCGUGCCGCCGCUAAACGCAUUAAGUAUUCCGCCUGGGGAGUACGGUCGCAAGAUUAAAACUCAAAGGAAUUGACGGGGGCCCGCACAAGCAGCGGAGCAUGUGGUUUAAAUUCGAAGCAACGCGAAGAACCUUACCUAGACUUGACAUCUCCUGAAUUACUCUGUAAUGGAGGAAGCCCUUCGGGGUCAGGAAGACAGGUGGUGCAUGGUUGUCGUCAGCUCGUGUCGUGAGAUGUUGGGUUAAGUCCCGCAACGAGCGCAACCCUUAUUGUUAGUUGCUACCAUUUAGUUGAGCACUCUAGCGAGACUGCCCGGGUUAACCGGGUAGGAAGGUGGGGAUGACGUCAAAUCAUCAUGCCCCUUACUGUCUAGGGCUACACACGUGCUACAAUGGCUGGUACAGAGAGAUGCAAUACCGCGAGGUGGAGCCAAACUUCAAAACCAGUCUCAGUUCGGAUUGUAGGCUGAAACCUCGCC